rnacentral:rRNA from 1 species
GUGAAGCGGCAACAGCUCAAAUUUGAUCUCUGGCUUCGGCCCGAGUUGUAAUUUGCAGAGGAUGUUUUUGGCGCGGUGCCUUCCGAGUUCCCUGGAACGGGACGCCACAGAGGGUGAGAGCCCCGUCUGGUUGGACACCAAGCCUGUGUAAAACUCCUUCAACGAGUCGAGUAGUUUGGGAAUGCUGCUCUAAAUGGGAGGUAAAUCUCUUCUAAAGCUAAAUACCGGCCAGAGACCGAUAGCGCACAAGUAGAGUGAUCGAAAGAUGAAAAGCACCUUGAAAAGGGGGUUAAACAGUACGUGAAAUUGUUGAAAGGGAAGCGUUUAUGACCAGACUUGUGCCGUGUGGCUCAUCCGGGGUUCUCCCCGGUGCACUCCACACGGUUCAGGCCAGCAUCGAUUCUCGCUGGGGGAUAAGAACUGUAGGAACGUGGCCCUCUUCGGAGGGUGUUAUAGCCUAUGGUACGAUACCCUGGCGGGGAUCGAGGACCGCGCUUCGUGCUAGGAUGCUGGCGUAAUGGUCAUUAGCGACCCG